rnacentral:tRNA from 1 species
ACACCUGUGGUGAAGUGUUUAUCAUGCUUGCCUUCCAAGCAAGUGGCACAGGUUCGAUUCCUGUCAGGUGUA